CUCCCUGAUGUUAGCGGCGGACGGGUGAGUAACACGUGGGUAACCUGCCUGUAAGACUGGGAUAACUCCGGGAAACCGGGGCUAAUACCGGAUGGUUGUUUGAACCGCAUGGUUCAAACAUAAAAGGUGGCUUCGGCUACCACUUACAGAUGGACCCGCGGCGCAUUAGCUAGUUGGUGAGGUAACGGCUCACCAAGGCAACGAUGCGUAGCCGACCUGAGAGGGUGAUCGGCCACACUGGGACUGAGACACGGCCCAGACUCCUACGGGAGGCAGCAGUAGGGAAUCUUCCGCAAUGGACGAAAGUCUGACGGAGCAACGCCGCGUGAGUGAUGAAGGUUUUCGGAUCGUAAAGCUCUGUUGUUAGGGAAGAACAAGUACCGUUCGAAUAGGGCGGUACCUUGACGGUACCUAACCAGAAAGCCACGGCUAACUACGUGCCAGCAGCCGCGGUAAUACGUAGGUGGCAAGCGUUGUCCGGAAUUAUUGGGCGUAAAGGGCUCGCAGGCGGUUUCUUAAGUCUGAUGUGAAAGCCCCCGGCUCAACCGGGGAGGGUCAUUGGAAACUGGGGAACUUGAGUGCAGAAGAGGAGAGUGGAAUUCCACGUGUAGCGGUGAAAUGCGUAGAGAUGUGGAGGAACACCAGUGGCGA
rnacentral:rRNA from 2 species